CCUACGGGAGGCAGCAGUGGGGAAUAUUGCACAAUGGGGGAAACCCUGAUGCAGCGACGCCGCGUGAGUGAAGAAGUAAUUCGUUACGUAAAGCUCUAUCAGCAGGGAAGAAAAGGACGGUACCUGAGGAAGAAUACCCGGCGACCUACGAGACAACAGCCGCGGGAAUACGUAGGGGGCAAGCGUUUUCCGGAUUGACCGGGGGUAAAGGGAGCGUAGACGUUGAGCUAAGUCUGGAGUGAAAUGACGCCGCUUAACGGCGGAACUGCUUUGGAAACGGGCGAACUAGAGUGCGGGAGUGGUCAGCGGAUUUCCUCGUGUAGCGGUGACAUGCGUCGUUCU
rnacentral:rRNA from 1 species